rnacentral:rRNA from 1 species
UACGUAGGGGCAAGCGUUGUCCGGAUUUAUUGGGCGUAAAGAGCGUGUAGGCGGCUUGGUAGGUCUUGCGUCAAAACCUGAGGCUCAACCUCAGUUCGCGUGGGAAACCAUCUAGCUAGAGUCCGGAAGAGGAGAACGGAAUUCCCAGUGUAGCGGUGAAAUGACGCAGAUAUCAGGAGGAACACCAAUAGCGAAGGCAGGUCUCUGGGCAUUAACUGACGCUGAGGAGCGAAAGCAUGGGGAGCGAA